rnacentral:rRNA from 1 species
CCUACGGGAGGCAGCAGUGGGGAAUAUUGGACAAUGGGCGAAAGCCUGAUCCAGCAAUGCCGCGUGAGUGAUGAAGGCCUUCGGGUCGUAAAGCUCUUUUACCAGGGAUGAUAAUGACAGCACCUGGAGAAUAAGCUCCGGCUAACUCCGUGCCAGCAGCCGCGGUAAUACGGAGGGAGCUAGCGUUGUUCGGAAUUACUGGGCGUAAAGAGUACGUAGGCGGUUAUUCAAGUCAGAGGUGAAAGCCCGGGGCUCAACCCCGGAACUGCCUUUGAAACUAGAUAGCUAGAGUCUUGGAGAGGUUAGUGGAAUUCCGAGUGUAGAGGUGAAAUUCGUAGAUAUUCGGAAGAACACCAGUGGCGAAGGCGACUAACUGGACAAGUACUGACGCUGAGGUACGAAAGCGUGGGGAGCAAACAGGAUUAGAUACCCUGGUAGUCCACGCCGUAAACGAUGAUAACUAGUUGUUCGGUCACUUGGUGACUGAGUGACGCAGCUAACGCAUUAAGUUAUCCGCCUGGGGAGUACGGUCGCAAGAUUAAAACUUAAAGGAAUUGACGG